rnacentral:lncRNA from 1 species
AUGAACAAAGCUAGUGGAGGUGAUGGAAUUCCAGUUGAGCUGUUUCAAAUCCUGAAAGAUGACACUGUGAAAGUGCUGCACUCAAUAUGCCAGCAAAUUUGGAAAACUCAGCAGUGGCCACAGGACUGGAAAAGGUCAGUUUUCAUUCCAAUUCCAAAGAAAGGCAAUGCCAAAGAAUGCUCACACUACCGCACAGUUGCACUCAUCUCACAUGCUAGUAAAGUAAUGCUCAAAAUUCUCCAAGCCAGGCUUCAGCAAUACAUGAACUGUGAACUUCCUGAUGUUCAAGCUGGUUUUAGAAAAGGCAGAGGAACCAGAGAUCAAAUUGCCAACAUCCGCUGGAUCAUGGAAAAAGCAAGAGAAUUCCAGAAAAACAUCUAUUUCUGUUUUAUUAACUAUGCCAAAGCCUUUGACUGUGUGGAUCACAAUAAACUGUGGAAAAUUCUCAAAGAGAUGGGAAUAUCAGACGACCUGACCUGCCUCUUGAGAAACCUGUCUGCAGGUCAGGAAGCAACAGUUAGAACUGGACAUGGAACAACAGACUGGUUCCAAAUAGGAAAAGGAGUACAUCAAGGCUGUAUAUUGUCACCCAGCUUAUUUAACUUCUAUGCAGAGUACAUCAUGAGAAACGCUGGGCUGGAAGAAGCACAAGCUGGAAUCAAGAUUGCCGGGAGAAAUAUCAAUCACCUCAGAUAUGCAGAUGACACCACCCUUAUGGCAGAAAGUGAAGAACUAAAGAGCCUCUUGAUGAAAGUGAAAGUGGAGAGUGAAAAAGUUGGCUUAAAGCUCAACAUUCAGAAAACUGAGAUCAUGGCGUCCAGUCCCAUCAUUUCAUGGGAACUAGAUGGGGAAACAGUGGAAAGAGUGUCAGACUUUAUUUUGGGGGGCUCUAAAAUAACUGCGGAUGGUGAUUGCAGCCAUGAAAUUAGAAGACGCUUGCUCCUUGGAAGAAAAGUUCUGACCAACCUAGACAGCAUAUUGAGAAGCAGAGACAUUACUUUGCCAACAAAGGUCCAUCUAGUCAAGGCUAUGGUUUUUCCAGUGGUCAUGUAUGGAUGUGAGAGUUGGACUAUAAAGAAGGCUGAGUGCCGAAGAAUUGAUGCUUUUGAACUGUGGUGUUGGAGAAGACUCUUGAGAGUCCCUUGGACUGCAAGGAGAUUCAACCAGUCCAUUCUGAAGGAGAUCAGCUCUGGGAUUUCUUUGGAAGGACUGAUGUUGAAGCUGAAACUCCAGUACUUUGGCCACCUCAUGCGAAGAGCUGACUCAUUUGAAAAGACCCUGAUGCUGGGAGGGAUUGAGAGCAGGAGGAGAAGGGGACGACAGAGGGUGAGAUGGCUGGAUGGCAUCACCGACUCGAUGGACAUGGGUUGGGUGAACUCCGGGAGUUGGUGA